rnacentral:rRNA from 1 species
UAAGGAAUAUUGGACAAUGGAGGCAACUCUGAUCCAGCCAUGCCGCGUGAAGGAAUAAGGCCCUAUGGGUUGUAAACUUCUUUUAGACGGGACAAAACCCCUUUACGUGUAAAGGGUUGAUGGUACUGUCAGAAUAAGCAUCGGCUAACUUCGUGCCAGCAGCCGCGGUAAUACGAAGGAUGCAAGCGUUAUCCGGAAUUAUUGGGUUUAAAGGGUGCGUAGGCGGACUAAUAAGUCAGUGGUGAAAGCCUGCAGCUUAACUGCAGAAUUGCCAUUGAUACUGUUAGUCUUGAGUACAGUUGAGNUAGGCGGAAUGUGUCGUGUAGCGGUGAAAUGCUUAGAUAUGACACAGAACACCGAUUGCGAAGGCAGCUUGCUAAGCUGUAACUGACGCUGAGGCACGAAAGCGUGGGGAGCAAACA